CCCACCAAUCACACGAGCACUCAUUGUAUAUAAUGUAUCAUUUACAAAUAUUGGACUUAAUACUGAAAUUUUAUGGGCAAAUGGGGCCAAUAGGCGGGACCCUACUCUGCUCUAUAAAGACAGUACCCAUUCUUUUCCAGCAUCAAAUUAACCAAACAAAUCGUUUCAAAAAUGGCCGCAGCAAAGCUUCUAUUUCUUGCAGCUGUGCUCUCUCUCUUCUACCUCUCCGGCGCGGCGGACACCGCCACCAGUUUCAUCAAAAACUCUUGCAAACCCACUACUUAUCCCGAUCUGUGCGUCGCUUCCCUUUCCGGUUACGCACAGACCAUAAAAAACAGCCAAGAACAGCUAAUCAAAACAGCCUUGUCCGUAAGCCUGGACAGAGCCCAAUCGACAAAGGGAUUCGUAAGCAAGCUCUUGAAAUUCAAGGGAUUAAAGCCCAGAGAAUACGAAGCUAUUAAAGAUUGCGUAGAGGAGACAAGUGAUAGUGUAGAUCGGCUAAGCAAAUCGGUGAGUGAGCUCAAGGAAGUGGA
rnacentral:lncRNA from 1 species